rnacentral:rRNA from 1 species
CGGGAUGGACGUACCGCUGGUGUACCAGUUGUUCCGCCAGGAGCACCGCUGGGUAGCCAAGUACGGACGGGAUAAGCGCUGAAAGCAUCUAAGCGUGAAGCCCCCCUCAAGAUGAGAUUUCCCAAUUAGUAAGACCCCUUGAAGACGACGAGGUUGAUAGGUUCGGGGUGGAAGCACGGCAACGUGUGGAGCUGACGAAUACUAAUCGGUCGAGGGCUUAUCCUAAAUGAUACCCAA